rnacentral:lncRNA from 1 species
GGAGGUGGGAUGAGCUCCAGAAGGGUUUGGCUGCUGUAGGGGGGGCUGUGGUGCUCCCCCAUGAGUGUGGACAUCUGUGGGGCUGCAGCAGGAGCUUGUUGGGGCUGGGCUGCUCACUUUGCCCAGAAGUCUCCAAAAUAAGGAGCUGUGAGGAGUUCAGAGCAGACCUUCCUGCAAGGAAGGAAGUUCCCUCCAUGUUCCCUCUCCUGGUUCCCUCCAUGGAGAGAUGCACCAAACAUAUUGGAUCAAACUCAAAGUUUGACUGCAGAUGAAAGAGGAACUUCAAAACGAAGGCUCUCAU